GUGGGCUACGGUGACAUGAAGCCCAUCACGGUCGGGGGCAAAAUCGUGGGCUCGCUGUGCGCCAUCGCCGGCGUCCUGACCAUUGCGCUUCCAGUCCCCGUCAUCGUGUCUAAC
rfam:Danio rerio chromosome 7, GRCz11 reference primary assembly.